rnacentral:antisense_RNA from 1 species
GUGGGAGCUGGCUUGCCUGCGAUGGCAAUCUGUCAGUUGAUGCAUCUUUGGCCGAUAGACCGCUAUCGCAGGCAAGCCAGCUCCCAC